ACUCUCUUGUUUCCCUCACCUCUUAUGGUAGGUGCAGAACAAUAUAACAUUCAUGUCUGAAAUGCCUCACAGAUGUUGUCCUGCUGGUGCGAUCUGGGCAUGUGUCAAAAGCAAAGUCCACAUCUUGUUUAUGCUCUGACUGCUGUCCAUCUGAACGGCUUUCUGAGGGCCUUAGGACAGCAACAAGACUUAUCUCCAAGUUGGGUUCCUUCUAAAGUGUUUGUCAGCACACUGAUGCCUAAUUAGGAAUGGAAGUGCCCUAAAUCUGCUGGUUUCACUACAGCACACACAAUCCAUCACAAAUAUUUAGAUAGCUAUUGAGAUCUCUUUCUCCCUCUUCUCUCUGCUGUGUACUUAGAAGUUGUAACAUACCCUCUUUAUAGCAAAAUGUGGAGAUACUGUAGGUUCUUUUCAUCCUAAGUGCUCAGCUCUGUACUUAAGGGCCCUUCAACUAGGGGCAGCCUAUGCCUAGGGAUUGUGGGAUCAGUCCUAUGAGAGGUUUAAAACCCUUAACGGAAUGUUACUGAGACUUUUUUCCCUAUUGUGCUAUGCAAAACUGAGCACCACAACACACAGGCAAUGCAGGAAAAGGCAGCAUGCUGUACCUGUGCAGUAGCCUCCAGUGGGUAUUUUCCCAGCUGUCACCAAAGCUGCAGAGCCAAACAAGAUUAACUGUGAAAAGUGGGAGAAGGUUACAUGGUCCCAGCUGUCCUGUGAUUAUGUUCAUGAGAUAAGUGGUGAUUAUUUAUUGUAUAGGCCUGUGUGCCUUCCUUUUUACAAUGAUGUUGAAAAAGGGUCUUGCAUUACAGAGUCAUCAUGCAUUUGUUUAUCUGCACUGAAAACUUCGGCGGGGCUUUCAUGUGCUAUGAGCAAACUUGCAUGCAGGAACUCAGGUGUGAAAAGGUGCACGGAGGAGAGAGAAAACAGCUCGGUGUUACUGAAGAAAUGUCCAAAGCGGACCUUAUCAUGUAAAUUGCAUAAAGGAUUCAGAGUUGACAGAUAACGAACAUGGCUUUAGUCAUGCUCUGCUAUGACA
rnacentral:lncRNA from 1 species